AAGAGCCGUGUGCGUUAAUUGCGCCUGCACGGAUCUGUGAGGGCUUGGGUGUCGCGAGACGCUCUUGCUACUCGAC
rnacentral:ncRNA from 1 species